rnacentral:rRNA from 1 species
GACAGAGGGUGCAAACGUUGCUCGGAAUCACUGGGCGUAAAGGGCGCGUAGGCGGGAAUGUAAGUCGGGCGUGAAAUCCCUAGGCUCAACCUAGGAACUGCACUCGAAACUGCGUUUCUUGAGUAUCGGAGAGGAAAGCGGAAUUCCUGGUGUAGAGGUGAAAUUCGUAGAUAUCAGGAGGAACACCAGUGGCGAAGGCGGCUUUCUGGACGGUAACUGACGCUGAG